rnacentral:lncRNA from 1 species
UGAUGUUACAUCGAAGAUGAACAUGAACGAGGAAAUUGAUACAUUUGUUUAAAAUUCACGAAAAAGGUAAAAACUUUGUCGUUCAAAUAACAUGUACUAGUAUAAAUGAGUAAAAUAACAAUCUUUUACAAUAAACCUGUAUUGAACAUGUCCAUUUCUGCAUGCCGGGAUGAAAAGUCACAUCAUUCAUUGUUCAAAUCACUAAAGUAGGAAAAACAUGGACGCCUAAAAUAGACUUAAGUAAUUUCUCUCGAACAGUCAGCAUAUAUUUCUGUUAGAAAGGUUUUGUAAGCCUAUAUAUAUAUUUUACAAGUUCAGAGAAAUUUCUUAAAAUAUGUCAAUGUUAUAUUAAUUUUCCCAUUUCCGCAUUUAAAAGCUCUCUCCAUACUACAGGAAAUAAGAAAAUAUUGAUUUGAGGAAGUGAAUGUUCAUGUUCAUUUGUAAAUAAGUUUAAGAGGGUAUGAAUGACUCACACUAUGAUAAUGUAUACUAGAAGAUAAUGUAAACAACAAAGUAGUGUAUAAUACAGAUGAAGCAAAUGAAUAUGUAACUUAACAAAAAUUACGAAGUACGAGGAAAAUUCAAAACGGUUAGUCCCUUAAUCAAACGACAAUAUCAAAAGCUUAAACACAUCAAAUGAUUGGAUAACAAAUGUCAUAUGACUGAUUUGGUACAGGCAUUUUCUAAUAUUCCGGUUCUAAUGUACGAGCUCAUCCAACAGUAUUUAUCUUAGCUCCUAUACAUUUCUAGGAAUAUGAUUGGCUAAUAGCGUCCUCAUGGAGACCGUGUAUAUUCCAUAUUAGGUUAGAAGGGAAGCGAGGCUUAUUUCAAUAAACGGUAAGUAGUGUGGAGAUACGACUAAGGCACUAUUUGAUUAUUUGAAUGUAUUGAAAGUUCUGUUUAAUAUUGUUCUUGUUGAAAUUAUUUUUUUGUGCAGACUAAUGGAAGUAGGUUCUUAAAAUUGAACAACUGAACACUUUAAUAUACAAAUAAGAAGAUGUGGUAUGAUUGCAAAUGAGACAAUUCUUUUAUAAAUUCAACAAAUAAAGAUAGACGGUUAGAUAAAUUCGUUACAUAGUGUGUUAGUGACAUGAAACGAUAUAUAAGGGGUCAGUAAAUUUCAUAUGGGGUUCGAGCUCGCUCUCACCCCAUAUGGAAUUUACCGACCCCGUGUAUAUUUAUUAGAUCACUACCAUGUAGCACACUAUGUAACUAAUAUUAUCUCUAUAGAUGUAUGGGGAUAUGAUUGGUUAAUCGACUGAACGUGGUGACUAUAUAUAUUUCAUAUAGGGUAUCAAAAUACAUGUUUAGCUACCAUAUAAGUUAAGCGACCAUAUGGGGUUCGUAAGGAGUUCCUUCUUUUUCAAAACAGAAAUGACAUCUGAAAGGUUUGAACAGACUUGGAAACUGAUAUUAAACGAUUGAAAUACAUUCAUAAAACACAUUUUUAGCUAACAAGUUGUUAUGCAAAGCUCUGAUUCCUUUCACGGAUUUAGCUAUACUUUUUGGACCUUUUUGAUUAUAGCUCUUCAUCUUUUAUAUAAGCUUUGGAUUUCAAAUCUUUUGGCCACGAGCAUCACUGAAGAGACAUGUAUUGUCGAAAUGCACAUCUGGUGCAGGAAAAUUGGUACUGUUAAAGUUGGAAGUAGGUUCUUAUACAUAUUAAAACUAAGUAUUGAAGUCUUUUAAAUCACUUUAAUAGGCAGACAGUCUAAAUACCCCAUGUGAAGAUGGUCGGUAGGAUAAAUACGUUACACGGUGUGCUAGUGACCUAAUACGAUAUAUACGGGGUCUAUACCUCAUAUGGAAUCGUAUGUAUCGUAUUAGGUCACUACAACACUAUGUACAUAAUAGUAUCCGACUAGAUCUAAUGCAUCGAUCGAGUCUAGAAUACUCGUACUGAGUUAGAUAUAUCUUCUGCUAUUUACUGUGUUCCACCAUAACUUUUUCCACCAUAUAAUUGUAGCCAGAUCAUAAAGCGUCGAUUGGUAAACUCAAUUGGGGACAGUAAAAUAUACGUUUCAGGAAGGCCAAGCUUUAAUACAAUACAGUUAUUUCCUAUAUGUUAUAUAAAUUAACAAAGGACUUCUAGCAGUUACUGAUAUGACUGCUCCAGACCUAACUUAAACUGAUUUAAAGAUUAUGUCAUAUGAAAAUCAAGCACACUUCUUCGUUUAAAGACCAAACCCGUCAAAUGAAUUAAAAACACCGUCAUAUGCUUAAUUUAUAUCAUUCAUAUAGGAAAACCAACGAUCUAAUUUAAAUAGAAAAACGAGAAACACCUAUGAACCAUAUGACCAAAGACAAAUACUGGACAUCAUGUCCUCUGUACAUUUUGUGAGUAUUAUUUUAAAAGCACGAAUUUCAAAACUAUGCCUUUAUACUCUCAUGUUUUAAUUUUUUUCUAUUAGGUUACAGAAGGAGUUUUACGUGUCUGAAAUCAUACAAGGGGAAGAGUGUCUAGUUCAACUUGGUUUUUUAUUCAAUAAAAUAUUUGUGACAGGUAAAAUUGAAUUGGGAAAAGACCUCCUACCACCCUGUACCACUGUUCAACAUUGUCAUUAAAAGAUUUCCGUUAUUUAUUAGGUAA